rnacentral:rRNA from 1 species
UACGUAGGGACCAAGCGUUGUCCGGAAUCAUUGGGCGUAAAGAGCGUGUAGGCGGCUUGUUAAGUCUUGCGUGAAAUCUCGGGGCUCAACCCCGAGCGGUCGUGAGAAACUGGCAGGCUAGAGUGCGGGAGAGGAGAGUGGAAUUCCUGGUGUAGCGGUGAAAUGCGCAGAUAUCAGGAAGAACACCCGUGGCGAAGGCGGCUCUCUGGGCCUGUACUGACGCUGAGGAGCGAAAGCGUGGGGAGCGAACAGG